rnacentral:rRNA from 1 species
AGUGAACGCUGGCGGUAGGCCUAACACAUGCAAGUCGAACGGCAGCACAGUAAGAGCUUGCUCUUACGGGUGGCGAGUGGCGGACGGGUGAGGAAUACAUCGGAAUCUACUUUUUCGUGGGGGAUAACGUAGGGAAACUUACGCUAAUACCGCAUACGACCUACGGGUGAAAGCAGGGGAUCUUCGGACCUUGCGCGAUUGAAUGAGCCGAUGUCGGAUUAGCUAGUUGGCGGGGUAAAGGCCCACCAAGGCGACGAUCCGUAGCUGGUGUGAGAGGAUGAUCAGCCACACUAGAACUGAGACACGGUCCAGACUCCUACGGGAGGCAGCAGUGGGGAAUAUUGGACAAUGGGCGCAAGCCUGAUCCAGCCAUACCGCGUGGGUGAAGAAGGACUUCGGGUUGUAAAGCCCUUUUGUUGGGAAAGAAAAGCAGCAGGUUAAUACCCCGCUGUUCUGACGGUACCCAAAGAAUAAGCACCGGCUAACUUCGUG